AGCUGGGAUGGAGUGCCCUCUAGUGGACAACCAGGGGACCCAGCAGGUGAUCAGAACAACAAGGCAAUCAAAGGCUAGACUUACACGAGAAAGCCGUACAUGUUUGGAACAUCAUGAGGAGCUGAUCUUCUGUCUGCUCUGAGACGAGCCGUAGUAGUACAGCAGAGGGUCCAGAAAAACACUUGUGCUCCCCAAACACAAAGCCAACAGGUCAGAGAGGCAACGGGAAACACCACGGCCAGCAGCCUGUCCACACUCAUGCACAUCAUCAGCAGUAUGGAGCAGUACAUGUAGCAGUAGUAAGCUGCACUGAUCACACGACACACCGCCUCACCGAACACCCAAUCUGAAGCGUUCAGCUGGUAGUGGAUCUUCAGAGGCAGCAGAAGAGUGAAGAGCAGGUCCACACACGCCAGAACUCAAAAGAAGAUACUUUGAAGAAUGCUGGUAAUCAAACCCAAGAAAUUUGUCAGAUACUCUUUACAGGUGCAGAAAUGAAAGCUUCCAAACAAAGAUGUAACUGGAUUAAGAUGUGGAAAGACAUGUUACAACACCGCAAACAAUAAAUCCUGAGCGAUUUGGAAAUAGGCAACAACCAAGGAAAAAGUACUCAUUGUUUCACUCAAAAAUGAUCCAUGGUAAUAGUUGUAAAUUAUAAGAUAAAGUACAAAAUGUGUUUAAUUUUAAGUUUUGGUGUCUCUUUAAAAUAAGGUAUCAUUAGUAAACAUUAGUACAUUUUGAAAUAACAUUAAAUAAGCAAUAGUUUUGUUACAAUUUGCAUUCAUCUUUGAUACUGUUAAAAAAUCAACAACUGUUCUUUGUUAGUUCAUGUUACUGUAGCUCAGAUCAAUUAAUGUCAACAGGCACAACGUUUGUAACCUUAUUUAUAAAAUGUAAAGUGUCACCUAGG